rnacentral:rRNA from 1 species
UACGAAGGGGGGCGAGCGUUGUUCGGAUUUACUGGGCGUAAAGGGCGCGUAGGCGCCUUGUCAGUCAGGCGUGAAAGCCCCGGGCUCAACCUGGGAACGGCGCUUGGGACGGCGAGGCUGGAGUUCGGGAGAGGAGAGUGGAAUUCCCAGUGUAGAGGUGAAAUUCGUAGAUAUUGGGAAGAACACCGGUGGCGAAGGCGGC